rnacentral:rRNA from 1 species
GGAUCGCAGGCUGNAACCCGCCUGCGUGAAGUUGGAAUUGCUAGUAAUCGCGGAUCAGCAUGCCGCGGUGAAUACGUUCCCGGGCCUUGUACACACCGCCCGUCACACCAUGGAAGUCGGUAAUGCCCGAAGUCAGUAGCCUAACCGCAAGGAGGGCGCCGCCGAAGGCAGGAUUGAUGACUGGGGUGAAGUCGUAACAAGGUACC